rnacentral:rRNA from 1 species
AGAGUUUGAUCCUGGCUCAGGAUGAACGCUAGCGACAGGCUUAACACAUGCAAGUCGAGGGGCAGCGGGGGCGUAGCAAUAUGCCUGCCGGCGACCGGCGCACGGGUGAGUAACACGUAUGUAACCUGCCCUAUGCAGGGGGAUAACCCGGAGAAAUCCGGCCUAAUACCGCGUAACACCUUAGGGGAGCAUUCUCUUGAGGUUAAAGGAGAGAUCCGGCAUAGGAUGGACAUGCGUCGCAUUAGGUAGACGGCGGGGUAACGGCCCACCGUGCCGACGAUGCGUAGGGGUUCUGAGAGGAAGGCCCCCCACACUGGUACUGAGACACGGACCAGACUCCUACGGGAGGCAGCAGUGAGGAAUAUUGGUCAAUGGCCGGGAGGCUGAACCAGCCAAGUCGCGUGAGGGAAGAAUGUCCUAAGGAUUGUAAACCUCUUUUGUCGGGGAGCAAAAAGGCUCUGCGGAGUCGUAUUGAGAGUACCCGAAGAAAAAGCAUCGGCUAACUCCGUGCCAGCAGCCGCGGUAAUACGGAGGAUGCGAGCGUUAUCCGGAUUUAUUGGGUUUAAAGGGUGCGCAGGCGGCGUGUCAAGCAAGCGGUAAAAUAGCGGGGCUCAACCCCGUCGAGCCGUUUGAACUGGCGCGCUUGAGUUCAGGCGAGGUAGGCGGAAUUCGUGGUGUAGCGGUGAAAUGCAUAGAUAUCACGAAGAACUCCGAUUGCGAAGGCAGCUUACCAGUCUGCGACUGACGCUCAGGCACGAAAGUGUGGGUAUCGAACAGGAUUAGAUACCCUGGUAGUCCAUACAGUAAACGAUGAGCGCUAGGUGUCCGGGUCGCAUGAGACUUGGGUGCCCGAGCGAAAGCGUUAAGCGCUCCACCUGGGGAGUACGCCGGCAACGGUGAAACUCAAAGGAAUUGACGGGGGCCCGCACAAGCGGAGGAACAUGUGGUUUAAUUCGAUGAUACGCGAGGAACCUUACCCGGGCUCAAACGACUCAGGAAUAUAUUGGAAACGAUGUAGCCAGCAAUGGUCUGAGUCGAGGUGCUGCAUGGUUGUCGUCAGCUCGUGCCGUGAGGUGUCGGCUUAAGUGCCAUAACGAGCGCAACCCCUACCGCCAGUUGCCAACGGGUAAAGCCGGGAACUCUGGCGGGACUGCCGGCGCAAGCUGCGAGGAAGGCGGGGAUGACGUCAAAUCAGCACGGCCCUUACGUCCGGGGCGACACACGUGUUACAAUGGCAGGUACAGCGGGAAGCCACCUGGUGACAGGGAGCGGAACCCGAAAGCCUGUCUCAGUUCGGAUUGGAGUCUGCAACUCGACUCCAUGAAGCUGGAUUCGCUAGUAAUCGCGCAUCAGCCAUGGCGCGGUGAAUACGUUCCCGGGCCUUGUACAAAGCGCCCGUCAAG